rnacentral:rRNA from 1 species
GGGCUUGACAUCCCACGAACCUGAAAGGGAAGGGAGCCCGCAAGGGAAGCCGGCACAGGUGGUGCAUGGCUGUCGUCAGCUCGUGUCGUGAGAUGUUGGGUUAAGUCCCGCAACGAGCGCAACCCUCACCCUCUGUUGCCAUCGGGUCAUGCCGGGCACUCUGAGGGAACUGCCCCGGUCAACGGGGAGGAAGGCGGGGACGACGUCAAGUCAUCAUGCCCCUUACGCCCUGGGCUACACACGUGCUACAAUGGCCGGUACAGAGGGCUGCAAACCCGCGAGGGGGAGCUAAUCCCACAAAGCCGGUCUAAGUUCGGAUUGCAGGCUGCAACUCGCCUGCAUGAAGGAGGAAUCGCUAGUAAUCGCGCAUCAGCACGGCGCGGUGAAUACGUUCCCGGGCCUUGUACACACCGCCCGUCACACCACGAAAGCCGGCUGUACUCGAAGUCGCUGAGA